CUGCUCUUCCUCCGACAGCCACGCAGCGAGCUCACGAGGCAGCCUCCACACAUAAUGAAAGCAAACGCCACCAUAAAUCUCCCGCUCGGCGGAGGUCACUUCAGAAAAAUCGCCCGCUGCUCAGAUAAGCACCAGCUUUGCUGAGGAACAUGGAAGGGGGAAAACACCGACUGUGAUAAACACCAGCAGGUAGGCUCCAAAUGGAGGCCAACCCAGGCAACUCGGAGAGAAGGGAGCCGGGAUGAAGCAGGUGUGUGUGCGUGUGUGUGUUUACACACAACAGCCCUGGCCCAGUGUGUUCUGGCUGCGAGAACAAGCAACCGCACCACGAGAGGAGCUGCUCUCCCCCCCGGGAGGAGAGCUCCGGAGGCACCAAUUUUCAUUAAACCUAGGAGUACACACAGGGGCAGGAGGCCAAAACAGUCCUCGAAACUGAGGCUUUUAAAAACAU
rnacentral:lncRNA from 1 species